GACGAACGCUGGCGGCGUGCCUAAUACAUGCAAGUUGAGCGCUGAAGGUUGGUACUUGUACCAACUGGAUGAGCAGCGAACGGGUGAGUAACGCGUGGGGAAUCUGCCUUUGAGCGGGGGACAACAUUUGGAAACGAAUGCUAAUACCGCAUAAAAACUUUAAACACAAGUUUUAAGUUUGAAAGAUGCAAUUGCAUCACUCAAAGAUGAUCCCGCGUUGUAUUAGCUAGUUGGUGAGGUAAAGGCCCACCAAGGCGAUGAUACAUAGCCGACCUGAGAGGGUGAUCGGCCACAUUGGGACUGAGACACGGCCCAAACGCCUACGGGAGGCAGCAGUAGGGAAUCUUCGGCAAUGGACGAAAGUCUGACCGAGCAACGCCGCGUGAGUGAAGAAGGUUUUCGGAUCGUAAAACUCUGUUGGUAGAGAAGAACGUUGGUGAGAGUGGAAAGCUCAUCAAGUGACGGUAACUACCCAGAAAGGGACGGCUAACUACGUG
rnacentral:rRNA from 1 species